GUAGGUGGCAAGCGUUGUCCGGAAUUAUUGGGCGUAAAGCGCGCGCAGGCGGUUCUUUAAGUCUGAUGUGAAAGCCCACGGCUCAACCGUGGAGGGUCAUUGGAAACUGGAGAACUUGAGUACAGAAGAGGAAAGCGGAAUUCCACGUGUAGCGGUGAAAUGCGUAGAGAUGUGGAGGAACACCAGUGGCGAAGGCGGCUUUCUGGUCUGUAACUGACGCUGAGGCGCGAAAGCGUGGGGAGCAAACAGGAUUAGAUACCCUGGUAGUCCACGCCGUAAACGAUGAGUGCUAAGUGUUAGGGGGUUUCCGUCCCCCCUAGUGCUGCAGCUAACGCAUUAAGCACUCCGCCUGGGAGUACGGCCGCAAGGCUG
rnacentral:rRNA from 1 species